AGCAGCCGCGGUAAUUCCAGCUCCAAUAGCGUAUAUUAAAGUUGUUGCAGUUAAAAAGCUCGUAGUUGAAUUUCGGGGUUAGUAGGCUGGUCGUGCCACUGGUAUGUACUGGUCUUACUGACUUCUCCUUUCUGAAGAACUGUAAUGCCAUUAAUUUGGUGUUGCAGGGAAUCAGGACUGUUACUUUGAAAAAAUUAGAGUGUUUAAAGCAGGCUAACGCUUGAAUACAUUAGCAUGGAAUAAUGAAAUAGGACGUUCGAUCCUAUUUUGUUGGUUUCUAGGAUUGACGUAAUGAUUAAUAGGGAUAGUUGGGGGCAUUAGUAUUCAAUUGUCAGAGGUGAAAUUCUUGGAUUUAUUGAAGACUAACUACUGCGAAAGCAUUUGCCAAGGAUGUUUUCAUUAACCAAGAACGAAAGUUAGGGGAUCGAAGACGAUCAGAUACCGUCGUAGUCUUAACCAUAAACUAUGCCGACUAGGGGUCGGAUGAUGUUAAUUUUUUAAUGACUCA
rnacentral:rRNA from 1 species